UACGUAGGGUCCGAGCGUUGUCCGGAAUUAUUGGGCGUAAAGAGCUCGUAGGCGGUUUGUCGCGUCUGCUGUGAAAUCCCGAGGCUCAACCUCGGGUCUGCAGUGGGUACGGGCAGACUGGAGUGCGGUAGGGGAGAAUGGAAUUCCUGGUGUAGCGGUGAAAUGCGCAGAUAUCAGGAAGAACACCGGUGGCGAAGGCGGGUCUCUGGGCCGAUACUGACGCUGAGGAGCGAAAGCGUGGGGAGCGAACAGG
rnacentral:rRNA from 1 species